CCAGACUCCUACGGGAGGCAGCAGUGGGGAAUAUUGCACAAUGGGGGAAACCCUGGUGCAGCGACGCCGCGUGGGCGACGAAGCGCUCCGGCGCGUAAAGCCCUGUCAGCAGGGAAGAACAAAGACAGUACCUGACCAAGAAGCCCCGGCUAACUACGUGCCAGCAGCCGCGGUAAUACGUAGGGAGCAAGCGUUGUCCGGAAUUACUGGGCGUAAAGGGCGCGUAGGUGGGCGCUUAAGUCAGGUGUGAAAACUCCGGGCUCAACCUGGAGACUGCACUUGAAACUGGGUGUCUUGAGGGCAGGAGAGGAAAGUGGAAUUCCUAGUGUAGCGGUGAAAUGCGUAGAUAUUAGGAGGAACACCAGUGGCGAAGGCGACUUUCUGGACUGUACCUGACGCUGAGGCGCGAAAGCGUGGGUAGCGAACGGGAUUAGAUACCCUCGUA
rnacentral:rRNA from 1 species